rnacentral:rRNA from 1 species
AUUAAAGUUGUUGCAGUUAAAAAGCUCGUAGUUGGAUUUUGGGCUCAUCGUGGGAGGUCCGUCUUCGUUGAUGUGUACCGCCCGCGUGUGCUUUUCCUUCUCGUUGCGUUCGCGUGCCAUUAACUUGGUGCGCGACGGCGCACGGGAUCGUUUACUUUGAAAAAAUUAGAGUGUUCAAAGCAGGCCCAAUGCGGCCGUUGAAUAUUUCAGCAUGGGAUAAUAGAAUAGGACUUGUUUCUUAUUUUGUUGGUUUUCAAGAGACAGGUAAUGAUUAAAAGGGAUAGUUGGGGAUAUUAGUAUUGUGAAGUCAGAGGUGAAAUUCAUGGAUUUUCACAAGACUAACUUCUGCGAAAGCAUUUAUCAAGGAUGUUUUCAUUAAUCAAGAACGAAAGUUGGGGGAUCGAAGAUGAUCAGAUACCGUCGUAGUCUCAACCAUAAACUAUGCCGACCAGGGAUUCGGAGCCGGUAAUUGGAUGCCUCCCCGAGCACCUUACGAGAAAUCAUAAGUUUUUUGGCUCUGGGGGGAGUAUGGUCGCAAGGCUGGAACUUAAAGAAAUUGACGGAAGGGCACCACCAGGAGUGGAGCUUGCGGCUUAAUUUGACCCAACGCGGGAAAACUUUCCAGGUCCAGACAUAGUAAGGAUUGACAGAUUGAGAGCUCUUUCUUGAUUUUAUGGUUGGUGGUGCAUGGCCGUUCUUAGUUGGUGUUGUGAAAUGUCCGGUUGAUUCCGUUAACGAACGAGACCUUAACCUGCUAAAUAGUCACGCGAACCUUCUGACAUGACGUGAAGCGGUGCGCGCGCCGGGCCUACGGGCUCUGCCGCUCGCUGUGAAUCGUCUGAUGUGUUCGUGGCAGUACUUCUUAGAGGGACUAUUCGUUUCUAGCGAAUGGAAGUUUGAGGUAAUAACAGGUCUGUAAUGCCCUUAGAUGUCCUGGGACGCACGCGUGCUACACUGAUGAAUUCAACGAGUUUCUCACCUUGGCCGAAAGGUCUGGGUAAUCUUUUGAAAUUUCAUCGUGAUGGGGAUAGAUCCUUGCAAUUUUUGAUCUUCAACGAGGAAUUCCUAGUAAGCGCAGGUCAUCAUCCUGCGUUGAUUACGUCCCUGCCCUUUGUACACACCGCCCGUCGCUCCUACCGACUGAAUGGUCCGGUGAGUUGUUGGGAUGGCUGCGCAGCCGACGGGGCAACCUGUCUAGUGCGGCCAGAACUUCUGCAAACCUUAUCAUUUGGAGGAAGGAGAAGUCGUAACAAGGU